rnacentral:misc_RNA from 1 species
UUGAAUACGCUUGGGUGCUGAUGCUGGCCUUUUCGGAGGCAUGUGCUCGCAUUCAAACUAUUUAUCUUCUCUUGUGCACCUUUUGUAGUCUUUGGAACGCUCUCCGCUGAAAAUGCGGGUUUUGGGGGGCAACGGAUUCACGUCUGUGCCCUCUGGUUUCGAAGACUAUGUUUUCAUAUACCUUUAGUAUGUUAUAGAAUGUCAUCUUAGUGGCUUCGGCCGCUAUAACCUUAUA